UACGUAGGGGGCAAGCAUUGUCCGGAAUUAUUGGGCGUAAAGCGCACGUAGGCGGUUCGUUAAGUCGGAUGUGAAAGCCCUCGGCUCAACUGAGGAAGUGCACCCGAAACUGGCGAGCUUGAGUACGAAAGAGGAUCGCGGAAUUCCCGGUGUAGAGGUGAAAUUCGUAGAUAUCGGGAGGAACACCGGCGGCGAAGGCGGCGAUCUGGGUCGAUACUGACGCUGAGGUGCGAAAGCGUGGGGAGCAAACAGG
rnacentral:rRNA from 1 species